rnacentral:rRNA from 1 species
UACAGAGGUGGCAAGCGUUGUUCGGAAUUACUGGGCGUAAAGGGCGCGUAGGCGGCCAUCUAAGUCAGACGUGAAAUCCCCCGGCUUAACCUGGGAACUGCGUCUGAUACUGGACGGUUCGAGUUUGGGAGAGGGAUGUGGAAUUCCAGGUGUAGCGGUGAAAUGCGCAGAUAUCAGGAAGAACACCCGUGGCGAAGGCGGCUCUCUGGGACGGUACUGACGCUGAGACGCGAAAGCGUGGGGAGCGAACAGG